rnacentral:rRNA from 1 species
AUUGAACGCUGGCGGCAUGCCUUACACAUGCAAGUCGAGCGGCAGCGCGGGGGCAACCCUGGCGGCGAGCGGCGAACGGGUGAGUAAUACAUCGGAACGUGUCCAGUAGUGGGGGAUAACCUGUCGAAAGAUAGGCUAAUACCGCAUACGACCUGAGGGUGAAAGCGGGGGAUCGCAAGACCUCGCGCAAUUGGCGCGGCCGAUGUCAGAUUAGGAAGUUGGUGGGGUAAAGGCCUACCAAGCCGACGAUCUGUAGUUGGUCUGAGAGGACGACCAGCCACACUGGGACUGAGACACGGCCCAGACUCCUACGGGAGGCAGCAGUGGGGAAUUUUGGACAAUGGGCGCAAGCCUGAUCCAGCAAUGCCGCGUGCAGGAAGAAGGCCUUCGGGUUGUAAACUGCUUUUGUCAGGGAAGAAAUCCUCUGGGUUAAUACCCCGGGGGGAUGACGGUACCUGAAGAAUAAGCACCGGCUAACUACGUGCCAGCAGCCGCCGUAA